UCUUGCUGUGCUAGUUCUACAGAUGUCCUCUGUGUUAAUGUGGCUGUACGUCACACGCAAGUGACGUGCCCAAGCGCUGAAAGUGGCCCGCGCAAGCCAAGCAGGCCAGGGAGGGAAACUUGAUGGAAGACAGACAGCAAGCUGAAUCAGGCGUCCGUCUUAUUUUCGCCAAGUUUUGGAGUCUUUAAUUAAAAUGGGAGGAGAGACAACGGACGAGGAAGGAGAAGGAGCAAAUUCAUGUAAGCCACCGGCAAGAAAAAACGAUAUACUCGUUACAAUCCUCAACAUAACAUCUGUGUCAGAGAGACAACCUGGUUCACAACAAAGAGAAGAUGGCAGCAGCAGGCCAAGGGACUCCAGAUCAACAGCAGCAGAUUCAAGAACAUCUGUGUCAGAGAGACAGUCUGUGUCAAGAAAAAAGCAAAGUGUGUUGGCAUGGCUGCUCAACUCGGACGUCUCUAAUAUAGGGUGACUCAUCAAAAUUAUCAGCUGAUAUCUACUCUGUUUUGCCUAGCAGUCAGCAUUGUGUAUGAGAGAUUUUGAUCCGUAAAAAAUUAAAAAUAUUAACAGGACUUUGUCUCUGUCUCCUAUGUCUGAAUUUCAUGUUAAUUUAGUUUGAACUGAUAAUAAUCCCCGAUUCCUCUGCCCCAAAGUUUAU